rnacentral:rRNA from 1 species
GACGAACGCUGGCGGCGUGCUUAACACAUGCAAGUCGAACGGAAAGGCCCUGCUUUUGUGGGGUGCUCGAGUGGCGAACGGGUGAGUAACACGUGAGUAACCUGCCCUUGACUUUGGGAUAACUUCAGGAAACUGGGGCUAAUACCGGAUAGGAGCUCCUGCUGCAUGGUGGGGGUUGGAAAGUUUCGGCGGUUGGGGAUGGACUCGCGGCUUAUCAGCUUGUUGGUGGGGUAGUGGCUUACCAAGGCUUUGACGGGUAGCCGGCCUGAGAGGGUGACCGGACACAUUGGGACUGGGAUACGGCACAGACUCAUACGGGAGGCAGCAGUGGGGAAUAUUGCACAAUGGGCGGAAGCCUGAUGCAGCAACGCCGCGUGCGGGAUGACGGCCUUCGGGUUGUAAACCGCUUUCGCCUGUGACGAAGCGUGAGUGACGGUAAUGGGUAAAGAAGCACCGGCUAACUACGUG